CCUACGGGAGGCAGCAGUGAGGAAUAUUGGUCAAUGGACGAGAGUCUGAACCAGCCAAGUCGCGUGAGGGAUGACUGCCCUAUGGGUUGUAAACUUCUUUUGUAUGGGAGUAAAAUAUUCCACGUGUGGGGUUUUGUGUGUACCCUAUGAAUAAGCAUCGGCUAACUCCGUGCCAGCAGCCGCGGUAAUACGGAGGAUCCGAGCGUUAUCCGGAUUUAUUUGGUUUAAAGGGUGCGUAGGUGGAAUGUUAAGUCAGUCGUAAAAGUUGGGGGCUCAACCGUAAAAGUGCAGUUGAAACUGGUAGUCUUGAGUACAGGAGAGGUGGGCGGAAUGCGUGGUGUAGCGGUGAAAUGCUUAGAUAUCACGAAGAACUCCGAUUGCGAAGGCAGCUUACUGGAGCGCAACUGACACUGAUGCACGAAAGUGUGGGUAUCAAACAGGAUUAGAUACCCUUGUAGUC
rnacentral:rRNA from 1 species